UACGGGAGGCAGCAGUGGGGAAUAUUGCACAAUGGGCGCAAGCCUGAUGCAGCCAUGCCGCGUGUAUGAAGAAGGCCUUCGGGUUGUAAAGUACUUUCAGUCGUGAGGAAGGUGUUAAGGUUAAUAACCUUAGCAAUUGACGUUAGCGACAGAAGAAGCACCGGCUAACUCCGUGCCAGCAGCCGCGGUAAUACAGAGGGUGCGAGCGUUAAUCGGAAUUACUGGGCGUAAAGGGCACGCAGGCGGUUAAUUAAGUUGGAUGUGAAAUCCCCGGGCUUAACCUGGGAAUGGCAUUCAAGACUGGUUAGCUAGAGUCUUGUAGAGGGGGUAGAAUUCCAUGUGUAGCGGUGAAAUGCGUAGAGAUGUGGAGGAAUACCGGUGGCGAAGGCGGCCCCUGGACAAAGACUGACGCUCAUGUGCGAAAGCGUGGGGAGCAAACAGGGAUUAGAUACC
rnacentral:rRNA from 1 species